GAUGAACGCUGGCGGCGUGCUUAACACAUGCAAGUUGAACGAAGUGGCGGAUGGGCGAGUAACACGUGAGGAACAUGCCUUUCACAGGGGAAUAACACUGGGAAACCAGUGCUAAUACAGCAUAGUGAAAGAUGACCUCGCGCCUGAUUAGCUAGUAGGUGAGGUAACGGCUCACCUAGGUGAUGAUAAGUCACCCGACGGAAGGAUGAUCGGCCGAGUUGGGACCGGGAGACGGCCGAGACGACUACUGGACGCUGCAGUGAGGAAUAUUGGACAAAGGCGCAAGCCUGACCCAGCAACGCCGCGUGAAGGAAGACGGUCUUCGGAUGGUAAACUUCUUUAGACAGGGAAGCGGUACCUGUAGAAUAAGCCCCGGCUAACUCCGUGCCAGCAGCCGCGGUAAUAC
rnacentral:rRNA from 1 species